CAGAGUACCAAUUGGAGGGCAAGUCUGGUGCCAGCAGCCGCGGUAAUUCCAGCUCCAAUAGCGUAUAUUAAACUUGUUGCAGUUAAAAAGCUCGUAGUUGAAUUUCAGCGUUUCGCGUGUGCCUCUUUUGGCCCAUCUCGUCUCGCUUUUUUUAUUACUUUGAGAAAAUUAGAGUGUUUCAAGCAGGCUUUUGUCUUGAAUACUUGAGCAUGGAAUAAUAGAGUAGGACCUUGGUUCUAUUUUGUUGGUUUUGUUACCUUGGUAAUGGUUAAUAGGAACGGUUGGGGGCAUUCGUAUUUAACUGUCAGAGGUGAAAUUCUUAGAUUUGUUAAAGACGAACUACUGCGAAAGCAUUUGCCAAGGACGUUUCCAUUAAUCAAGAACGAAAGUUAGGGGAUCGAAGACGAUCAGAUACCGUCGUAGUCCUAACCAUAAA
rnacentral:rRNA from 1 species